GCAAUAUAGAGGAGGAAAAAAAUGGAAUCCAGAGUAUGCAGAAAUAGUGCCUAUGUAAAGAGAUGUAACAUGAAGAAUGGGAAACGUGAACAAAACAUGAAGAGCAAAAAUUAGGGUGAGAAGAGCAAGUACAGUUAAGGCCAAAUAUACCAGGUGGCACAAUUUCAGUAUCAGCAGAGUGCUUCGACAAAAUGAAUGUCAUUUCGCUUCAAAGGAACAAGAUGCUCGCAAGAAAAUUACUGCAGAAUACAACUCAAGCUUAACAGACCAAAUUCUAGGUACACCAAGAGUGCAAACUGCAAAAUGUGAUUAUGCAUCAUUGGAAGUGAUGGAAGAAGGGAAGAAAUUCCACUGUAUCUUUACAGGUUGCAGUAACGGUUGGUGAAUGCUGUGCAAGAGAACCUGCAAUGUAUGCUGCUGAAUCAUCACUGGAGGAGCAAAUAGAAGCUGUAAGAGCAAAAGCCAGGACGCACUUUGAUGUUGAGACAGAACAUUUGUAUUCAGAAAACAUCAUAACAGAUGAAAGCUGCUUUCAGCCACAUGCCACAACGCCUUGCAAGGACAUGCUGACUGCUGCAAAAACAAUUGAGACAGAGUGUUUCUCUGAUGAGACGCAGGUUGUUAUAAACACUGAUCCAUUUCUUCAUGAGGAAGUGGAAAACCUACAACACAAUUUGAAAUUUGCUGGCAAAACUACUGAAGAAAAUGAGGAGAUUAGUUUGAAGUGCAACGAAACUGUACAGUUCAUUACAAAUGGUGAAGCUAUGCCUAAACAUAGCAAUCAUGUAUUACAGAACCAUAUUAGAAGUAAUUCCAAUGAUUGUGUAUAUGGAGACUCUUGGUCUGUACAGAAUACAAAAGGAACUGUGGAGGUAGAUGGCCGGACAAUAAAACAAAACCACACAAAUCUCGUGAGUGAAAUGAAUGAAGAUUAUCAACAGAUGGGUUCAGAAGCGGAGCAGGAAGUUCAGGGCAGUGUGGAGUUCAGUGAGUGUCAGACAUCACAUGAAGUUUCAGAGAAACAAGGUGAUGAAGAUGUGGAAGGACCCUCCAGCUUUAAACAUAAUGUUGUCUCAUCCAGUCAGAAGAAUGAUACUGAAGAGUUAAUGCAAUUCAAUGACAAUUCACUUUCCUUGGAUGAACUUGCAAAAAGGAUUCAGAUAGAAGAGAGUAUCCGUCCAGAAGGUCUUGUUUCCAUACUGAAGAAAGGAAGAUCAGGACAAAGAAAUCAUGCAGGCACAACAGAAGCAGUCAAAGAGAAGAGUAAGAUUUCAGGAUCCCCAAGAUACACUUGAUCAGGAUGAAGUAAAUGGAGAUUCCUGCCUUCUCUUAGUCCUGCUGUGUAUUGUCACAGUACUUCUGAGCAUCCUAGGAACAGCACUUUAUUGCACAUUUGGUGAUCUGGAGUCCAGUGUGUGCAGAGACUUCACAACACAGGUGGACUUUUACUAUACCCAGUUUCAACAAGGGGUUGCAAAAGUUAAGCACUGGUUGCUGUUUUCUUAAAUAACAAUGUAUCCACACGCAUUGACAUCAUUGUGUAAAUGGGAAUUCGGAUGGACCACAAUGAGCAGUUAAUCAUGUUGAUGCUCGUGCUGCAGUGCACUAACUACUGUGGAAUGUCACAACACAGGAACUUAAAUACUGAAGCUUCAGACCUCAACAAAACCAUUUGUAACUUGACAUUAUUACCAUUAAUAGCUUGAAGGAAGACUGAAUAUACAAACAAUAAUGUUUGCAAACUGUGUGAAUAGCAGAAUUGUCAAUUGUUUUCAGAAGAAAUUAGUUUUGUAUAAUUUGCCUGUUAGGGUACUCUGCACUUAAAGGAUGUAAUAAUUUGGAUUCAUAAUGGUUCUUGUGUCAUAAUGUAAGUGUUUUAUUUACAGUUGAUAAUUUUGCAUUUGAUUUUACUUGUCGGUUUUACCUUGUUUUUAAAAAAAAUCAUAUUAUCUGUAGGUUUUGAUUUCAAAACUAUUUUAAUUGUUUAGAUUACUUUGCAUAUGUCAGUUUUUCAAUUAUAACUUUUUCUACAGACCUCAAAUUAUCAGUGAUUAUCGCUAUCUGUUAUUCUUAUUUUGUUCCCAUAUUAUAUCCUCCUGUGUUUUUUUAAAAUGCAAACACAGAUGAAUGAAUUUUUAAGAAGAUUGUUAUUUAAUGUUUAAAUGUACAUAUUGUUUAUUAAGUAGUCUGUCAUGUGUGACAGAGGGUAUUUCACUGAGUAUUGGUGAAUCAUUUUCUAUUAUUACUUUCACUUGCUUUUUUUUAGAUGUAAUAAUUCUAAUUUAAAUUGUAGGAGUGAAUGAGUAAGUUUUAACUUGAUUUAUCAGCAUGUGAGCUCCUUCAUCUGUAUGUUUGUUCUGUUAAAUUCAGUUUUACUUUCUUUCAUUUUAAACAAUGGCAAAACAGUUUAAAAACUUGUGGUGCUAAUGUUCUGCUUUGUGAUGCUUUUCGAUUUCUUUGUUUUUGUUUUUACAGAAAGUAUAGUAAAAGAUUCAAGACAUUUUCAGACCUAUUGUCAGUGAAAUGAUAGAGGUUAACAUUUAUUUCUCAAAAUGGUAAAUUUCUUGGCUCAGCAAUGCUGGGAGAAAAGGGAUAUGCAAAUAAAGAAUCUCUAAAGGCUGAUUUCAUCCAAAAGCACAAACUUGGUCAAAUUAUCCUGGAUGAUUGCUUGCAUCUUUUAGAGCAGCAUUGCUGAUGUUAGUAAUUAAGGUGACUGCCCCUUGCAAGUUUGUCAAUAUCAGAAUCAGGUUUAUUAUCACUGACAUAUGUCAUGAAAGUUGUUGUAUUGCAGCAGCAGUACAGUGCAAGAUAUAAAAAUUACUAUAAAUUACAAAAUAAAUAGUGCAAAAAAGUAGUGUUCAUGGACCCUUCAGAAAUCUGAUGGUGGAGGGGAAGAAGCUGUUCCUCAGUCGUUAAAUGUGGGUCUUCAGGCUCCUAAUGGUGGUAACAAGAGGGCAUGUCCCAGAUGGUGAGGGCCCUUAGUGAUGGAUGUUGCCCUCUUGAGGCACCAUCUCUUGAAGAUGGACCCAUUUCACUGAAUUCUCAUAAUUACUUGUGUGUGUGUUGAAAAUUUGUUACGUUCGGUAUAUUUUGACUGAUUUGGAGUGGUAUGCUGAGGUUAACUUGAUUUCUGUUUUAAGGCAGACACGGUAUUUUCCUUGCCGAUUUCUAGUCGCAGAAGUCUGUACUCUCAGGCUUCCACUUCUACCACCUACAUAUGUCUGCAUGGUAAGCAUUGGGAUUAUGCUGCUUGGUUCUUAAAAAGUUGGGCAUCUUUGAAUAAUCUUGGCAGGAAGAGGUUUAAAAAGUUAACUUUAUUAUUGCUAAGGUAGCUGUAUAUUCAGGAGAAUAGCAUGCAUUACCUUAGUCAAAUUUCUGUUGCAUCACAAAGCACAAUAUUGUAACACAUGCACUAUCAUUGUAAAGUUUUAUCACCUUUGAAUGUGUGUGAAAUAUUGAUCUUGUAAAUGGAAAAAUUAUUAUUCAAACCCAUAGAAUUAGGUUUAUAUAUUUAAAAAUGGGAAAUUUUGAAAAAAUAAGAGCAGGUCUCUAUCCAGAUGUGUGCAUGGACUGUUCACCAAAGCUUACAGCAAAUAGUGGAUAAUUAUCUCAUCCUCUUAAUGUGACUGCAUAGCACUUUAAAUCUUGCUUUCUUUGCAGAUUUAUGUUCUAAUUUCUUGGCGCCUGCAAAUAUUGUUUUGUUUAUAACAAUCAAAUACAGUGCUAGAAAUUCACAAUAGGAUUGCCAUUACUAAAAGAAGAAAGGUUAACAUUUAAUGUGUGGAAACUGGCUUUGCUAUUCUUUACUAAGUUUGUUUUUUUUUCCUUUGGUAAAUAUGCAUUAUUUCUGCAUUUAGCAAGUUAUUACUAGUAGCUUACAGUGAGCAAUCAUGCUUAUCCUCCUCUGAUAUAACUAGAAUAUUGUAAAACACUGGCAGAUUGAAUGAGGAAACUUGCUGGUGAAUUUAUUCUUCAAUCCGAAUGAUGUAAUCAUUUAGGAGCUUUAGAAAGGGCCUUAAAUUUUAGCAAAGCAACUUUUAACAUGUAUGUCUAAAAAAUUGCUAACUUUAGACAUUAACUGUAACAUAGUGCAUAAUAGUAGGCACUAUACAAUAGCCAUGAAUUACUGGCUGGUUCAGUACACAACUAUAAAGAUACUAUAUAGAACUUUAUUUAAUGUAGAUUGUGUUGUAUGUAAAGCAAAUCAUUUGGAUUUAUUUUCCUCCUGUUUUUGUAUAUUGCAAAUACCUGGCAUGUAAAAUUUCAAAUCUAUGAUUUGAGCUCUAAUCUUGGUUACAGCACCUGUAUUCUUAAUCUGAAUUGUUAAACGCUUUUGUUUAUUUUGUAUUGUGCAAGACUUUUGGGAUUGUUCACAAGAAAUAUAAAUGUGUCCACAACCACAAUAAUGAAAUGUAGUAAUUUUAUCACUGCAUUGAUUUAAAAUGCAAAACUGCAUAGAAUGGCAAUUUGAAGACAAGAUAAUUGUAAAGUGUUUUACAUGAUUUCUGUCAUUGACCAUGCAGUUUAAGAUUACAACUUGUGAUUUGAAUUUUUACAAAUGGGGAAAAUUCAAGUAGGAUUAACACUGAGUUCCUUAUUUUAAAAUCUGUUUAUUUAAUGUACAACCUUUUAAACUCCUUCAAUGUACCACAUUCAACAAUGUAAAGAUGUGCUGGUUGGUAGCUUAAUUGCCCACUGUAAAUUAUCCCAGAUGUGUGUGUAGAAGGGGAAAGGGAGUUGUUAUGCAUGUGAGAAUAGGUUAUGGGGAAAUAAGUGGGGGCAUGAGACACAAAUGAAUGCUCCAAGAGCUGGCAUAUACUUAAUGGGCCAAUGGCAGCUUCCUAUGUUCUAAGAUAUGCAAAAGAUAAAUUGUGCUUUUCUUAGUCUGAGUCACAAUGUUAAGAUGGAAUUUUCUCAAUCUUUCCUCUUAUUGAACAUAUACAAAUUAGGAGCAGGAGCAAGCCACUUGGCCUCGCCAACCUGCUCUGUGAUUGAUCUAAUCUCAAUUUUACAUUCCUGUAUACCUGCAGUAACCUCUCAACCCCCUUGCUUAACAUGUAUCUAUACCUUUGUCUUGAGACUGCUUCAGGUGCCCAUUGAGUAAGAGUCCUAAAGACUCUCAACCCUUGGAGAGAAGAAAUUUCAAUUCAUGUGUCUUAAAUGGGUGAACUUUUUUUUUUAAAAUAUAGUAAUACCUAGUUAUAAAUUCUUUCAUAAAAAGAAACAGCUCAACAGCCACCCUUAUCAAGACCCCUCAGCAUCUUCUAUGUUUCAAACAUCACAUCUUCCUCUUAAGUUCCUACAGAUACAAGCUGAGCUUGUCCAACAUUUUCUCAUACAACCACCUGUAUUCCAGGUAUUAAUCUAAUAAAACCUGAAUUACUUCCAACAAAUUAACAUAAUCCUUAAGGAGGCUAAUACUCUAGAAAUAGAUACCAAAAAUUUGCCCAAGUUGCUAUUUACUCUACAAAUGUUUGGCCAAUUUGUUUCAACAGGCUGAUUUGCAUCAAUGAUCCCUUGCAGCAUAAUCUUGUCCAUGCACUGCUAAUACAUGAUCAUUUUUUCCAGCUGUGGUGAGUUGUUGUAAGAUACUGAGAGCAAAAAGAAACAAAGUGGAGAUGGCUCUAAAUUGAUGGUAAAUGAAGCAUUGCUUUCUUCUUCAUUAGAAGUAUGGUCAGGUUCAGAGUGAAACCCAAAAAACUGGCUUCAAGCUCAAUGAAGAAAUCCAACUGUAAAGUGAAACCCAAAAGGCCACUGGAUAUAGCAAUGGCCCAAGAGCCACAAGGCAGCAAUGAAUAACUGGAACUGUAGAAGGGAAUUGGAAAUGGAUGUACCUGAUUGAGUUAAUUUAAGUCUUUCUUAAAAUCAGGCUUUCCUUCCCCUCUCUCUCCCUCCACCCCACCAAUGUAGAAGAAAGCAAUGCUUUAUUUACCAUCAAUUUAGAACCAUCUCCACUUCUAUCAGUAUAUUACAACUCACCACAGCUGGGAAAAAUGAUCAUGUAUUAGUGUAUAAUCCCAUAAACUGGCUAUAUUUGGUUUACUCUUUGUGCUCAUUUCAUUUACCCAUACAAAUUCCCCAAUUGACACUAAAUAGUUUAAACUUUCCUUUGAUUUUUUUCUUCAUUACUUAAAUCCUUGUUCUGUUCUUCACCUUUACCCUUGCCUCUCAUCUACAACUAUUCAGUGUAUAAUUAGAUAAACUUGGUGGGGAGGGGAACAAUCAGUCCCAAUAUCUGUGAAGCUGUGCUCAUCCUCAAGUGAGAAAUGUGGAAUUAGAAAAGGAGCAGAACCUUAUGCAUAAAGACAAUUAGAAUUGAAUAUUAGGUGCUCCUUAAAGAGAAAUUAUAUUACUGGAAUUCAGUGUAUUGGUGCUCCUAUGUAAACAGUACAAUUCAAAUUGGGUGCAUAUGUCAGCUGCAUAGGAGAGGUGAAACACACCCAGGAUUGGGAAGUUAAUAUUUUUAUACCUCCUUAGAUAGAUGUGCAAGUUAGCCAGUAGAGAUUGCCUGUUGCUGCCUGAAGCACGAGAUCAAUUUCAAGAAAGUAAACCUCUGACUGCAGAUGUUCAUGUUCUCCCUGCUAAUCAACAUGUAUAGGUCCAAGAUGUUGAUACAAUCUUAAAUUAAGUUUUAGUGAACAGCAACAAGUUCAAUAACAAUGUGCAGAAUAGAUGCAUCACAUUGUUAAACCAAUAAAUUUUGAUCCUGUGUACAAACUAAAAAUUACAUGGAUCAAUGUACAUAUUUUUCUAGUUUCCACAAAAUCUUUUCUACACAUCAGCUCUUUGCUCAGCAUCCACCUCAUCUCCAAUUUCCAUUCACUUCACUUAAUAUUUAAAAAAUCCAAAUUGUACAAAUAAAAUGCUUUGGAAAAAUUUCAAAGCUGUGGUCUUGAUGCUAUAUUUUUCCUCUGCAAAUGGGAGAUUAUUAUUUUUAGAAAUCAAAUGUCAUUCUGAGGCCAGGCUUAAAUGCAAGAUGAACUACUUUGGAUUGGUUGGGGAGAAUAAUAUGCUUGUAUCCAGUGAUCAGUCAUUAGCCACUGGGUGAGAUUUCUUCAGACUUGAAACCAGAUGAAGUUAUGGAGUUGACCUUUGGUCUGCAUCACUCCACAUUAGAUGGAAGGUGUAUUUUGAGUGUACUAAACAAGUAUAUGCUUGUACAUUUUGUAAUCCCUGUAAUGCUGAAAAAUAAAUUUACAUAUACCUUU